AACGAACGCUGGCGGCGUGCCUAACACAUGCAAGUCGUGCGAGAAAGUUCCUUCGGGAGCGAGUAAAGCGGCGCACGGGUGAGUAACACGUAGGUAACCUGCCCCCCAGUCUGGAACAACUAGAGGAAACUCUAGCUAAUGCCGGAUGAGACCACGAUCCCUUCGGGGGUUGCGGCCAAAGAUGGCCUCUACUUGUAAGCUAUCGCUGAGGGAUGGGCCUGCGGGCCAUUAGCUUGUUGGUGAGGUAACGGCUCACCAAGGCUGUGAUGGUUAGCUGGUCUGAGAGGAUGACCAGCCACACUGGGACUGAGACACGGCCCAGACUCCUACGGGAGGCAGCAGUGGGGAAUAUUGCGCAAUGGGCGAAAGCCUGACGCAGCGACGCCGCGUGGGUGAUGAAGGCCUCGGUCGUAAG
rnacentral:rRNA from 1 species